rnacentral:lncRNA from 1 species
CCACAGAACUUUGAACAGCCUCCACUCCAAAGCUCUUCCCACUUAGGGGAUUCUGUGUCCCUGCAUCCAGAAAAGGGACAGAUAUAGAAAGGGAGGAUGCGGUCUCACCGGGCCAUAAACAUGCAUUCUAGAGGCUGACGAUUAGAAUUCAUUUGGGAUGGGCCACAGCUUUCAAAAGCAGAAACCAGGUUUUGACCCACUUCUUCUCCAUCCCUCUACUGCUUUCUUUAAAGAUUCAAAAUGAGUCUCAGUGAGGCCUCAGAACGGUCAUCACAGAUAGGAAAUUCUCCAAUAAGGUCAACACGACAAGGACAUCUGCAGUGAUCUUUCUACAUGCUCUGCCAACUUGGCACUCAUCUAUAACUUUAGAAGAGGAGGCAGAACAUCAGUGAUGACUGCAAACAUAUGCUUGAUUUUUUUAAGCAACGGGAAAAUGAAAAAUGAACGGGAGGAGGGAACACUGCUGCCUUCUGAGGACAGAAGUCGUGUUUCAAGUAGUCAGGAGUGAUGGGGAGGUGGGACGAGAAUGAAGAUUUAGGGGAAUCUGAACAAAACAAGGUGGUGUAUGGGGAAUGAGGGCAGUCAGUAAAGCCAAAUAGUACCAGGUGGAAAAAUAGCCUAAAAGAAGUACAAGUCUAAUCAUCCAAAAAUUCUAAAGCAAAACUAAAACUCCAUAGUUCAGCAAAAGACACCCUUUCAGGUGUUUAGAAGACUGUGGUUAUCCGUUUAAAGAUGUUCCUCUCUCAAGGAAUCUCUGAGAACUAUAAAUGUGUUUAUUAAUUUUUAUUCUUUACCUAACUAGUAACCGAAAAUUAUAAACGUAAUCCACACUCACUGAAAAAAAUAAACCAAGCACAGAUUGGUUCAAAGUAAAACAUGACCAUCUUCCUGGCCGGGCACAGUGGCCCACACCUAUAAUCCCAGCAC